GAUGAACGCUGGCGGCGUGCCUAAUACAUGCAAGUCGAGCGAACAGAUGAGGAGCUUGCUCCUCUGACGUUAGCGGCGGACGGGUGAGAAACACGUGGAUAACCUACCUAUAAGACUGGGAUAACUUCGGGAAACCGGAGCUAAUACCGGAUAAUAUAUUGAACCGCAUGGUUCAAUAGUGAAAGACGGUUUUGCUGUCACUUAUAGAUGGAUCCGCGCCGCAUUAGCUAGUUGGUAAGGUAACGGCUUACCAAGGCAACGAUGCGUAGCCGACCUGUGAGGGGGGUCGGCCGCACGGGAACGGAGCCGCGGUCCAGACUCCUACGGGAGGCACCAGUAGGGAAUCUUACGCAGUGGGCGAGAGCCUGACGGAGCAGCGCGGCGUGAGUGAUGAAGGUCUUCGGAUCGUGAAACUCUGUUAUGAGGGAUGAACAAAUGUGUAAGUAACUAUGCACGUCUUGACGGUACCUGAUCAGAAAGCCACGGCUAACUACGUG
rnacentral:rRNA from 1 species